rnacentral:rRNA from 1 species
UACGUAGGGGGCAAGCGUUGUCCGGAUUUAUUGGGCGUAAAGAGCGUGUAGGCGGCCAUUCAGGUCAGCUGUGAAAACUCGGGGCUCAACCUCGAGACGUCGGUUGAAACCGUUUGGCUAGAGUCCGGAAGAGGAGAGUGGAAUUCCCGGUGUAGCGGUGAAAUGCGCAGAUAUCGGGAGGAACACCCGUGGCGAAGGCGGCUCUCUGGGACGGUACUGACGCUGAGACGCGAAAGCGUGGGGAGCGAACAGG